ACAUAGAUUAAUGUGUUAAUUUAAGUUAUAAGAGCUAGUGGGACAAGCCUAAGCUAAGGCAUAUCUUUCGUAAUAAUAAUAAGUCUUUGUGUCAUUAUUUGCAGGCUGGUGGUUCCAACAAGAAAACAUGUUAUAUAGGGCACCAAACAUGGAGCCAUGUAUAUCCACACAAGGCCUGAGAAAGCUAAAAAAAAAAUCCUUCCUGGCUUCCUGGCCACUGUGGUCUCUCAGGUAGUCAGGUAGGCUGGCUCUUUUAAGAGGCCGUGCUGUGUAGCUGAGCACUUGAGCAGCCCACACUGGGUUCAAACUCCUGUUUCAGGCAGAUACAACAAAUUCCUAGAGCUGGGGCAGAGAUUAGGCUCUCACAGAACUGAGGGGGGUGGAGCCAACCACCAGCAUACCACAGGCUAAGUAGAGCCACAUGGUGGUAGCCUAGCAGUUUAAUUUUGGCUCACAUGGUCAGAGGAGACUGCAGAUGUGUUACGCAUGUUCUCUCUCUCUCUCUCUCUCUCUCUCUCUCUCUCUCUCUCUCUCUCUCUCUCACACACACACACACACACACACACACACACACACACACAAACUAACAAUAACAAAACAAACGAACAAACCAGGUUCAGGCUGAUGAAACUUCUGAACAGGUGACAGUGUGUUUAAAAACAUCAAAUAAAGAAAAAGAAGAUGGGUACAGACCAUCAUAGAAAAAAAUUAGUUAAAGUCUUUGAAGAAAGACUAAAGUAAUGUAAAGAGAAUAAGCCAUAUAAGGAUGGGAAAUAUAGAGGGCAUCUGGAUCCUUUAUGGUGCUUUGUGGACACUGAAUUUUUUAAAUGCUAAUGUACAAAAAAACAAAAGCUGCUGAGAGACAUUGGAUUAUGGAAACUCCCAAAUUAAACCAACUUAUGUAUUUUGAAAAUGUUUUAACUUCAAAAUGGAAUUCAGUAAAUAUGUUGCAUUGUGGGAGAGAUGAUGCUUAUAUUUCCACAGGAAACAAAACAUUAUGAUUCUCUUCAAAAUUAACAAAGAUCAGAUUUGAUUGGGGGAAACCUGAAAAUCUUGUCUACAGAUACCAAAAAAGAAACCAAGAAAAACUACAGUUUAGGUGAUGUGUAUGCUGAUCUCUCGACAUGGGAGCAGCUCUGAGACUGGAUGAGAUGUGAUAAAUCUUUUUGUCUAUAGAGUCCUCAUGACUUAUUAUUACAUGCCAUCCUUACGUACAGCAUGGAUAGAGAUUUAUAUUACAGUUUGGAUAUACAGUCUAAACAAACUUAUAAAGUUAACAGAUGCCUUUCACCUGCUCAAACAUAAAACAAAAGAUCAUCUUUAACUGACUUGUGCAUACUGCACAUUCCAUACUUGUGUUAAUGCAGAUAUAUAUGUUACCUUUAAAAGUUUGUAUGUUUUCAGAAAAAAAGGAACAGACUCCAAUGAAAACAAGUAGCCCAAGUGAUCCAGACUCAAAAUGACUCUGUUGCAGUUUCCUCAAGAUUCUACAUCCAGAACAACUUCAAAACUGCUAGUGAGACACAUCUGCUCCUGGCAGCAUCAAUUUACUUCAAAAAAGGAUGAUGGAUAUUGAAGAACCUCCAUGUGGAGUUUGCUUUUAUUAUGGCAAAGUUAGAUAUUGGGCAAGAAACUGCCCUUGCCUUGACUGCUGACAGUAUGCUAUCCAAAUUGGACAAGAGGACACAAAAGAAAGUGACUGCUGAACUUUGCCAAGACAAGUGGAAGUCUCCAAAAGAUAAAAUCUGGAGUGUAUUACUAAAACAAGUUUCACAGAGAGAGAGAAAAAAAACACAGAGAAAACAAGCAUAAAUCACUGAAGCUCAGUAAACAGUAUGAGCCCUGCAUCAAGUAGAGAGAAAGAAGACAAAGUAAAUAAAAUAAAAAUGAAACAGUUGCUAACAUUCCUUAAAAUAAUCAAGGUUGCCCAAACCAAGAUAAAGCUGAGCAAUUCUUACAUCCAAGAGUGGUGUUAAGAUGCAUGGCUCCUAGAUGUGAAUGUACUAUCUUCAAUUGGAUGAAAACUGAACUCAUGCAAAAAACUACAGACAACUGAAGAAACAUCAAUGUAAUAAUUAUAGUAUAUUAAUUUUGGUUAAUUGUGAAAACUAUAUCAGUGUUGUAAGCUGUAGACAACAGAAGAAACUUGGUGUGCAUAUGAGAACUGAGAGCUCACUUUACAAUUUACCCUUAUGUCUGAAGUUCAUGUGGAUUAAAAGAUUUAGAGAAAUUGUAAAAGAGGAAAUUAGGAACAACUGCUCUGAGAAACAUCACUGGUCCUUACUUGGCAAUAAAAGACAGGGUACAGAAAUUGAUGGUCAUGUUAAUAUGAAAGUCUAUCAACAAUGAUUGUUUAUCUGAAGUGACUGAGAAAGAAGAAGAACCCUUUCUAAGAAGACAUAUUUUAAAGCAUUCUACAUGUAUUCAACAGACAUGGUAACUGAUUCAUGGGACUGAAAAUAUCCACUUCAAGGCAUUAUGGGUGUUGUGUUAGCAAAUAGUGCUGAGAGUUCAACACUGAAUGCCCAAUACACAAAGUCCAAUGAAGGAACAAAAUUCAAGAGGGUUUCAAUAUGGUAAACAGAAAAGUAAAACAUCUAAAUUGACUGAGUCUAUUUCAAUUACAAUUUUAUGAACACCACAAAACCAAAUAUAUCAUAAACUGGACCCAAGGAUGGAUGUUUUAAUUGGAUGACUUUUUCUCGCUGAUAAGUUGUUUGCUAUCAUUACCCCAAUGAAAGAAUUGAGUUAAUGUAUAUUGCAGAUUCUGGGCAUCUCUUGAAGACUAACUUGCAUUUGGUGAGGACUACACUAACAUUGUCUAUGCUCACUUUCUGUCUCUUGAGUACUCUUGCGAUUCUGCUGUGAUAUUUGGCAUUAUUAAGCACUGAGUUUAAAAUUAUAAUUUUGUUUGUGAUAAAUACCCCUAAUGGUUUAUUUUUUAAGGUUCAUGUCACAUUAACUCUUUAUAUUAAAAAAAGAUAACUUGUGACAGUCUCACUGAUAAAGUAUGUUCAGUUUUGAGUCACCAAAAGAAUUACCAAAACAAGCUGUUGAAAACAGUUUCUCCCUCAUAUGGAGAAUCUAUCCUGUUGAGACUGAGUAGAACAAGAUGUUGAGGGGGAUGAAAUUUUAACUACAUAAAGGAAUAGAGUAAAAUUUAUUUCUCUUGAUUAUAAGCUAUGAGAACAUUUCUAUUUUUAUAACAUAAUUUAUUCCUAUGAAGUUUUAAUAAGGAUGAUAUUUAGAUUAGAACAUAUUUGUGUUUCUAGUUUAUAGUUGGAGAAUCUUAUUUUUUAAUCACAUUAUGGACCUUCUGAUAAGGACCACUGAACAUGGUGGCUGGAUAUCACUUUGGUUAGAGAGCAGAAAAGUGUAUUUUCUUCAGAAAUAUAUUAGAAAGGGGGAAGGUGAGGGGGGCCGGAGUGGGGAGAACAAGGGAAUCUGUGGCUGAUAUGUAGAACUGAAUUGUAUUGCAAAAUAAAAAUAAAAAUUAAAAAAAAGAAAGACACAUUUAAAAUCUAAAAUCUAUUAUCUCCCAUUAUUGAGUAGAAAAAUAUGUAGCAAGGAUAGGUGGACAUUUCAAUAGAUGGUGAAAAUCAAUGUUGAAAUUGUAACUUAAGUCUCACAUUAGAAGCCUCUGUCAUUUGAUUGAUCCAUCUAUUUGCCCAUUCAUUGAACUAUGCAUCCCUCAUCUGUUCAGCACUUUUCAAACAAAUUCAAAUCUUACUUCAGGCUUAGAUUGACAGGGUGCAAGAAAUAAAUAUUUGAAUGAUUAAGCAAACAAAUGAGCUCUGUGAUAAAAUGCCAGUCAGCGUGUGUAUUUAUAAAAAUAUGUAAGUAUAAUAUAUAAGAUUGAUCACGUCCUUUCACAUUUACUUUGUGAGCGUGUACUACUCAGUAAAAUCAGGUGACAUUUGCAAGAUAUUUGGAAUACCAUGGUGAUUGAUAGCUUUUCUUUCUUAAAUAGGGAAACUUUCCACUACACAGAACUAUAAGAAACUAUGGUUCUCAUUUCUCUGGUCACAGUUUGAGUUUUCUUUUUUCUUUUUUGAUGUAUGCAAAGUCCCAAAUUGAAGUGAAAGUCCUUUCGGCUGGUAGUAAUUUACUUUCCUUAGAGUGCUUAGUGGUGACAUAAUUGAUUUUGUUGCCAUUGAUUAAAAGUCACAUUAAGUUUAAAACUGUCAGCUGAACCCAGAGAUAACAUUUUCAUAAUGACUUUUAAUAAACAUGGAAGAAGUGAUUUCAUUGCAUUCAUAAAUUUGAUGAAUGGCAUUUUCCCAGGACCAAAAUAAGUGAGAGGCUCAUUUGCACGUGUAAUUACUGCAUUACA